rnacentral:rRNA from 1 species
GCCAGACUCCUACGGGAGGCAGCAGUGGGGAAUAUUGCACAAUGGGGGAAACCCUGAUGCAGCGACGCCGUGUGAGUGAGGAAGUAUUUCGGUAUGUAAAGCUCUAUCAGCAGGGAAGAAAAUGACGGUACCUGAGUAAGAAGCCCCGGCUAACUACGUGCCAGCAGCCGCGGUAAUACGUAGGGGGCAAGCGUUAUUCGGAUUUACUGGGUGUAAAGGGAGCGUAGACGGCAGUGCAAGUCUGGAGUGAAAGGCGGGGGCUCAACCCCCGGACUGCUCUGGAAACUGUACGGCUGGAGUGCAGGAGAGGUAAGUGGAAUUCCUAGUGUAGCGGUGAAAUGCGUAGAUAUUAGAAGGAACACCAGUGGCGAAGGCGACUUGCUGGGCCAUCGCUGACGGCCAGGGACGAAAGCGUGGGGAGCGAAUAGGAUUAGAUACCCCCGUAG